AGAUCAACCCUCAUCCUAAGGCUGGUGACAGAUAUUGUAUCUAACCGAGCUAUGAUUAUGCUGACUGCACUGUUGCAUUCGUUGGAUUACAUCGUGCCAAACAAAUCUGUGGAUGUGGUUGUGAUGAUCCACGUUUUUUGACACUUGCAGGUUUAAGGCAGAGGGGUGUGACUUUAAAUGUGAGUAAUCCUCUGUUUGGCAUUAUGUUAAUUAUCUUCAUUUUAUUUGCUCUCCAUUGUUCUAUGUUGAAGUGAUGGUAGUAUAAUACAUGUGAGUCGUCUUUAUCAUCAUAUUAGAGAGCAGUGGUAAUAACUCUGACUCUUAGGUAUGCAUAUUGUUCUCAAAAAAUUUCUUUAGUUACAAAGAUUGUUCCAUAAAGCUAAAUUGUAUCUAAUAAUAACUGAACCCUGCUGAACUCAA